rnacentral:rRNA from 1 species
UACGUAGGGUGCAAGCGUUGUCCGGAAUUAUUGGGCGUAAAGAGCUCGUAGGCGGUUUGUCGCGUCUGCUGUGAAAACGCGAGGCUCAACCUCGCGCCUGCAGUGGGUACGGGCAGACUAGAGUGCGGGUAGGGGAGAUUGGAAUUCCUGGUGUAGCGGUGGAAUGCGCAGAUAUCAGGGAGGAACACCGGAUGGCGAAGGCAGAUCUCUGGGCCGUAACUGGACGCUGAGGAGCGAAAGCGUGGGGAGCGAACAGG